rnacentral:rRNA from 1 species
CAGCCGCCGCGGUAAGACGGAGGAGGCAAGCGUUGUCCGGAAUUAUUGGGCGUAAAGAGCGCGUAGGCGGUUUUCCAAGUCAUAUGUGAAAACUUUAGGCUUAACCUAAAGAUUGCAUGUGAAACUGGAUAACUAGAGUACGGCAGAGGAAAGUGGAAUUCCUGGUGUAGCGGUGAAAUGCGCAGAUAUCAGGAAGAACACCAGUGGCGAAGGCGGCUUUCUAGGCCGUUACUGACGCUGAGGCGCGAAAGCUAGGGGAGCGAACAGGAUUAGAUACCCUGGUAGUCCUAGCCGUAAACGAUGGACACUAGGUGUGGGAAGUUAUCGACGCUUUCUGUGCCGAAGCUAACGCAUUAAGUGUCCCGCCUGGGGAGUACGGCCGCAAGGCUAAAACUCAAAGGAAUUGACGGGGGCCCGCACAAGCGGCGGAGCAUGUGGCUUAAUUCGACGCAACGCGAAGAACCUUACCAAGGCUUGACAUCAUACUGACGGUUGUUAGAAAUACAACUUCUCUUCGGAGCAGUAUGACAGGUGGUGCAUGGCC